GACAGAGGUGCCAAGCGUUAGGCGGAAUCACUGGGCUUAAAGCGUGUGUAGGCGGAUUUCUAAGUACCUUGUGAAAUCCCCCCGGCUCAACCGGGGAAGGGGCGCCGAAACGGCCCGCCUGGAGGGACGUAGGGGGAGCUGGAACUUCCGGUGGAGCGGUGAAAUGCGUUGAGAUCGGAAGGAACGCCCGUGGCGAAAGCGAGCUCCUGGACGUUUUUCUGACGCUGAGACGCGAAAACCAGGGGAGCGAACGGG
rnacentral:rRNA from 1 species